GAGGAUUGAAUUUUAAGGAGAUCUAAUCUGAAGAUUGAUUGUCUCAGCUUCCGAUGAAUCUUUGUUGAGCUUUUCUAUUGAGGCCAGCUUUUUGAUGAGCUCAGUCUUCACCUUUUUAAUGUAGUUGGCUUUUUGAUGAGCUAGGCUUCCUGAUGAGUCCUUGUUGAUCUUUCCAUUGAAAUCGGUAUUUUUAUGAACUCAGCCUUCAUCCUUCUAAUGAGGUUGACUUUUUGAUGAUCUAGACUUUCUGAUGAGCCUCUAUUGAUCUUUCUGUUGAGGUUGGUAUUUUUUUGUACUCAG
rnacentral:lncRNA from 1 species